UUUGGCCCCUAAUGGGGGGGGGCGGCUGGUGUCCUGCCGCCCCAAUUAAUGAGAUAAUUACGGCGGCAAGCGAGAGAGCGGUGGGAGGGGUAAGUAAACCCUCCCGCCGCUCUUAAAGGUACCCCCCACCCAGUGCCACUAGCACCCGUUAUUUUAACGGGCUGAAAAAUACUAGUGCUUAUAUAACACAGUAGAGUGUUCAGAGUGCUUCACGCGCAUUAUCUCUGUAAUCCUUGCAACAGCAUUCCUGUGUUGCAGAUGGAGGACUGGGGCUGAGAGAGAGUGACUUGUCUAAGGUGACCCGAGGAGUUCAUAAUAGAGAUGAAGUUUGAAGCAGGGACGCCUUGGCUUACAAACUGAUCUCUGAUUCAUGGUGUUCUGCUUUGAGCCUCGUCCUCAUCCCCCUUGUCUUCUAGCAGAGUAAAUAGAGAAAGUAGUCCGACCCUGUCCAUCAAAUUCAAUCAAAGGCUCUAUUUGUCUAGUAUAGGGCUACACAGUUUUGACCCUCCACCUGUUUUGGAACCAGUUUCCAUCAUCUGCAGCCACAGUAGUCAAUAGGUAGGGAUGGUGGGAGUUGUAGUCCAGCCCUGCUUUAAUGAGAGGGGGUUCCGUUCUGCCCCCUACAGCUGCUGCAUCUUGAGUGGCUGAAAAGUAGCCGAGGUCUGCCUCCAGCUCCUCUGCUUCAUGCAUGUCACUGUUUGCCACUGAUGAGCUCCUGUCGACAUUGAGCACUUUAAUUCUAUGCUAUUAAUUACAUCAAUGUCCUUGUAUUCUUCCCUCUUUGGGGGCAGUUUUGUACAAAAACCAGUUGGCUGCUUCAUUUUCUGUAAACCCUUGUAUGGUUGGGAGCUUUCCUGAACAACCGUUGCCCACCAGGUGUAACUUGAUAAAAGCUUAAUAAUGUUGCUGCCAAUAGGCUUGCUGCUUCCCGGUAAGCACAUUGCAGAUACCAAGCAGGCAGCCUCAACUGCUCCCCAAGCAGUCUCCUGCGUUCCAUCAUAGCCGUAUCCCACGGCAAUUUGAGAGGUGGUUAAUCCUGCUAAUAUGUUGUAUUUAUAUGGCAUGUAUUCAAAGGCUAUUACGCCAGCUCUACAAAUGAGGAAGCUGAACUGCAGGAGCUGGGAAGCGAUUUGUCAGAAGCUCUGUUCCAAAUACUCCACUGUAUGGAAAGGCAAUACAAAGCACAGCUACAGUUCAAAAACAGGGGUGGACUACAUCCUCCAGCACACUGCGGAGAACAACAGUAUUGGUGUGAUCUGAGAGAGAGUCCCUUGGGAAGUGAACACUUCCCUCAUCGCCAACUUGUCCACUGCUGUUUGCAUAAGAGAUUUUCUUCUAUACAAACCUCUUACACCAGGCAUGGUGAGUGCCUCUUCUUCCCCCGUGCUACCUUUCCUCCAUAUCCCUGACUCCAUCUCAUAAGGGGGAGUGUGUGGUGUGGGUGGAAAGGCCGGAUGAUGAAUGGCUGUGCGUUAUCUCACAAGCAUGGUCAUGGUGUCAGGCCUGCAAGCAUUUACAGAGUUGUCUGUGCAAGGAAGUAUCAUGGGGUGCCUCUGAUUUUAUCGGGAGGGAAUUCAGCAUGGACUUAAAUCUAUUCCAUUAAAAUCAACAAGACUAAACAGAGGCUCAGGCUGCCUGCUGAAUGAGAACCCAAAUGAAAAGGGCCUCCACUGUUGCCUAAAAAAAGUUCUAGCUUAAAUUUGAUGAGUCUUUGUUGGGGAGGAAAGGUAGGAAGCAAUGGCAAAGGGAUGCAACAGGAGAGCUGAGAGCCCAGGCUAUUUUGUGGAAGCAUGGGAAGGAAUUCAAUAUGUUCCCACACACACACACACACCAUUUCCCCUAUUAAUGUGCCUCUCCGAAGCCUUCACUUGCCUUAUGGGGGAAAGCAUAUAGGUACCACUGAUCAGGGCAAACAGCACAGAGUGUGAUUUCCUUCAUGUCUUGCAUGUAGAGUUCCUAGAAGUUUGUGCUUGGCCACUGUGGGGACUAGAUGGCAGCUUGCUUUGAUCCAGCAGGGCUUGUUCUCCUGCAUCAUCAUGUCUAGCUUGGCCCAUAUACCUGCAUCUUCACCUGCAUCUUCAUCAUCACUCAGUGACUACACUGAGCAAUGAUUCACAUAUGUGAAAUGACUCUUAUGGGUCAGCCAGAAAUUCCCUCUCACUUGAUAUUGCUCCCAAAGCAAUGCUUUUAAAUGGGGACAUUUCUCAUGUUCUACAGUGAUGUAUGUGCUUGUGUGAAACUGCCCAAAGUUUCCACUUAUGUAUGGGCAAAGAGCAAUUAUUUAAAAAAGAGUUUAUGGAUCAGUGUCAGGGUAGGCCUACAAAUUUGGCAGAUGUCUGCUUCCAGUCUAGUCCUUGGGCUUCGAUUACAUCUCGCUCAUAAAUAUUCCAGAAGAAUUGAUAGAGCAGAUGGUGCAGGGUGGGAGGAAAAAUGCUGUUUACAAAGCUCUCUCUGUCUUUUAAGCUUUCCCCAGAAGAUGGCACCCUUGGACUCCUGGUUUCCAUGCAGAGUUGCUUGGAAGCCCAGAACUGGGGGUGGGGUAGUCGGGCUUUAUCCGAACCCUGCCCCGUACCUCUAGUCUGCUUUUGAACUGCUUCUGAAUGGUGAAACAAAGCAUUCUUUAUUUACUGGUUAAGAAAAGGCCUGUCAUCAGCCUGUCUGCUUGUGGCCAGAGAUAAGCAGGAUGUUCAACAGAGCUGAUGGAGUGCACAGCUUUCAAAAGGGCACUUUUCCCAUUUCUUGAGCUUUUGAAGAGGGGAAAGAGGCAGGUUAAGUGUGAACUCUUCCAUCUAUGCCCCCCACUUCACAAUGCAGGUGCCACUAGGAAUGCCACCACACUAUUGACUCUUAAGACCAGCAAUGCACACCAGGCCUCUUCUAAAAAUGCACCUAUUGAUUGCUGACAGCUCACUGGAAAAGUCCAGUCUAUAUACACUUAGGUUAUUGAUGGGGGAGGAAAACAAGCACUACCCUACUUGGGGACUAUCUCUGCUUCAGGUCCUUGGGUGGAUCACACAGGCCUUUGCUGCAGAAUGGAAACUCUUCCUCCCAGUUCAUUAACCUAACCAGGAUGAGAAGAUUGGGAGCCCUUUCUCACGAGCCAUGAGAAGGGCUCGAAGGGGCAAGGGGAGGAAGCCUUGAAAAGCUUGUCUCCCCUGCUGAUGAUCCUCUUCAUGUUGCUGGGCAGCUGGAUCAGCCACCCAGAUGAUUGCCAGCUUCUGCCAGUAGCUCGGAGGGAUGGGGUGUAGGGAUGCCCCCCAAACUCCCAUAAUGUACCAUGCGAGGUUAGGAGAGUGCCCCAUUAAGAGGGUGGCUCCAGUCACGGGUUUACCACCAAGGUGUGGCCAGGAUCAGGCAUGACACACGCAAAACUGGGCUGGGCUUCCUUAGCCCAGUUUUGCCUGCAUGUGUGAAUAGCUUCUGUCUUUGCUUGGGUCAAAGAGGCAGAACACAGACCCCCAAUUUAGCUACUGCCGCGUCUAAGGCUGUUAGGUGGCUUCUGUUUGAAUCAGCAAUAGCCAACUUCUGUUUUCUUCUAGGGGGCUCUGGUUGCAGAUCAGAUGUCUGCAACUCCUGGCCCAUAAAGCUGAAUGCACCCUUCCAAUGAUGUAUGGUGGACUUCCAGAGGUUGACAGCGUCCCUUUGUGCUGAUGAGACAGUGGACGUUCAGUGCCGGCUACUUGCAGCAGUAUUAUAAAGGCAUCCAUUAGGGUUGUUAAGUAGAAUCUGCUACUGGUUCUGUUUGCAAUUUAAGGGUGAUAACUCCAGUAUGCAAAUAAGACUGAGGAAGCAAAUGGCAUUAACAAAUCAGAACUCUCCAGUGAGAUUUUUUUUUUUUUAAGAAAUGGAAUGAUACCAAAGCACCAGCCAGCAGCACAGUCUUUUGCACAAAAUGAUGGAAAUGAAUACAAGCUGCGCAAGAACACAUGCUAUUCCAGUGCCUUAGAGAAAUGGAAGGGUCUGCAGUCAGAAGAACCACUGGUGGAGGAGCCACACGUCUGGCCAGUAACUCUGUGGUUCUGAAAGUGGGGUUAUGACUCCCAGCAUCCGACUCCCAGCAUCCCCUCCCACAAUAGAAUGUGGCUGGGGAUGCUGGAAAUUGUAGUUCACCAACAUCUGGUAGACCCCAUGUUAAGAACCACAGCUCUACAUCUUCAUCCUGAGCAGAAGAAAAGCCGAGGUUGGUCUAGUCCAGGACUGGUCAACCUGAGACGCUCUAGCUGCUGUUGGACUACAAGCUGGUGCUUAUUGUGGCUGUGGAUGAUGAGAGUUGUAGUCCAGCAAGUUAGAGCCUCAUGUUGGGCUAGAUUAACUGAUUACACAUUCUUUUUAAAAACAAUUAUUAAAAUCUAUUUUAACAAGAUCCCCCCCAAUUAACCAAGAACAGUUCUUUUUAAAAAAAGAUUUAAAUACUAUUACAGAAGUGCAGGUGACAGACAACAGGAGGAAACACCUCUUCUGAGAUAGUGCCUGCUGUGACCUGUGUGAAUCAUAUUUUAAAAAGAAGGAACAAUUGAUUUAUUCAUAUGCAGAUAACUGCAAUUUAAUCAAAUCAAUUCAUAGAUUAAUUGGAUGGAUGAAUGAAGAUGAUGGGAGUUUUAGUUCACAACAGCUGGAGAUCCAAGGUUGCUUACUGCUGCUCUAGAGAGAUAGUUUGAAUCUAAUCAUCUGCCCCCAAGCAAUUUGGGAUGGAAUGGACUAGAACUAUUAACAAAAUGGGAACAAUAAAUAAUUGCAAGAUCAGCUCAUUAGUGAGUUGUGCUAAGUAACACAUUUGAUCCACAUGGUUAUGUGUUUCCCACAUUUUAUUUAUUUAUUUAUCAGAUGUGUACACUGCCCCAAAUUUUCAUCUCUGAGCAGAUAACAAUAACAUAAAAAUAUACACAAACACUUAAAACAAUUUAGAUAAUUUAAAAUCAAACACAGAUUAAAACCUAAAAAUUUAAAAAGCUGAAAAAGCUUGGGUGAAGAGGUGGGUUUUCAAAUGCUUUUUAAAAAUUGUCAGAGAUGGGGAGAUUCUCAUUUCAGUAGGGAGCACAUUCCUCAGUCUCGGGGCAGCAACCGAGAAGGCCCACCCACCGUGUGGCCACCCAAAACAUUUUAACAGAAACAUUAUUGUGGCACUAGCAAAAGUGGUCACUAUUCAUCUCUUAAUCCUGGCUUGCACUAGAGAGCAUGAAAUUGCUGCUCCUGGCUUGCCCUAGAAAGCAUGAAGAAGGCAUGCUUCGUUCAUUCAGAGAGAGAUGAAGUAAUGGAUCAAUAACAGAGGGGCUCACGUUGAAAUUCAGAGCUAAGGGUGUUAAAAUUGAUGAAUGUAUUUUAAAUCAACACCUAUCUCUUCAUUUGGAGGGAGGAGGGGGUGGGAUUACACAACCACCUGUUUCUUUGGAUAUUUUUUUCCUGGGCACAGAUGGCAAACAUCAAGCACUGAUAGUGUUCCCAUGAAGAACAGCAGCCAUGUGAACAUUGCUAGAUACAGGUUUCCACCCAUGGGUUUCCCAUGACCUUGUUUUUCACAAGACAUCAGGAUGGCAGAUUAGUAGGUUUGGGCUGAAAAUAAUGAAGAGUAUGCCAGAUUCUCUACAGCCAAGUGGGGGGCGGGGAAGAUUUCAUUUGCUGAGAGAGAGAGAGAGAGAUUGAGAGAGAUGUAUGAAUGGCACUGGCAGAUUAUUACUGAGUAGCCAUACUACUCAGUAAUACUAAUUCUUUCAUCUCUUCUAGAAACCAGGGAUAGCACCUGCAGAGGGUAAUAUUAGGGAACAGGGACACUGAAGUAACAGGGAACUGGCUGAAAUACUGUGCAACGUAACACAUGCAGUUGAGUAACAUUUAUGCAAGAGCAAUAAAGAGCAAUACUUGCACUUGUUGUGCAAGUGGGAAAAUUACUCAAAGAACAACAGCCUGAACUUAGGGCUUUCCCCCACAACAAACUGGGUGCUGAGGAGUGUGUGUGUGGGGGGGGGUAUUUUUGUCUCCCUCUCCUCCCUCCAAAAGCCCUAUAAAUAUGUUCCUGAGGGUUUCACAGCAGGGUUUCACUAUUUGGAAGGGCUUUUGGAGGAAGGAGAGAGACAUAAAAAUCACCCCCCCCCCUCUCUGUGCCUGAUCUGCUGCACAAAGCAGUCUUCAGCACAGGGAUGCUGAAGCUUUCUUGUGGACCCGCAGCCUUCCUUCUGGCAACAGAGGGCUGCACAUCUGGUCUCCCCAAUACCCCUCAAGGAUCUUUGUUUACUAAAUAGUCACAGAGAAGUGUGAUCCACCUCAGGACUGUAGCUUGGGAGAAAGAGGGCUUUAAAUGUUUCCCUCACAUUGUCGCAAUCCAAAUUGGGGCCUACAGCUGCUUUUGGGGCCUGGAGGAAAGUGGCAGGGGGUGGGCAAUGGGAUUGGCACCAGGGCAGCAAGAAAGGGUUAAACCCCUUCUUUCCAUCCUGUGGUCCCAAGGUGGGUUUGCAUUCCCCCAUGGCUUCUUUUAGUAAAUACAAGUUAAGUGCAUCAGGGCCAACGAAGCACUUAACAUAAUGUGUAGUUGGGCCCCCGGGGGGGAAAUAAAAGUUACCUUACAGUGGCUUAAUUCUUUAAAAAUGAUCUAUGAAUCAUCCCCAGCUAAGUGAACAGGACAGGACUUGCAGUAAAAGUUGGCCCCCUGUCUUCUCAGAAAUGGUGGGGCAGCUGUUAACCUUUCAUCGGAAGGGCCUGCUUUUUAUAGAAUCUGCAUAUUAUUCACCAUUCUCAUCUACUAGAUGAAAAAACGCUGGCUGAACACUUCUGGGGGAAAAUAAAAUCCAGCCUCAAAGCACUGUCUCAGUUUUCUGGUAGAAAAUUUCAAGAGACUGCACUUAAGGGGUGGUGGGGAGGGAAUCAGCAUUAUUUCCUGUCACUUUUGGCCCAUAUAUUUGCCUUUCCCCUCAUGGACCCUGCUGAAGUUGAUUAUCUUCUAGAGUUGGAGGUAGAGAAUUCCAUCCAAGGUUGGGCCAAAAAAAAAAAAAAAAAGAAAAGAAAAAAAGAAGCAGCAGCAAAAAGCAAUCAGAGCCGUAAGUCAAACAACCAAUCGCAUGACAUGUUGAGCUCCCAUGCUUGGUUACAAGGAUGGCUGCACUUUGCUUGUAAUGAGUUGCUGCUUUAUUAUUCCAUCAGUAUCAAAUGGACACCUUAAUUAAUGAAUUUUACUAGAGAGACAAAGAACCUGGCCACAUCCGAAUGGCGAAUGGAGGAAACAAUUUUAUAAGCUCAUUAUGCCUCUCUGCUGAAAUCAUCUAAGGAGCCACAAAGUUUACCAGUGCCUGAAAGACAAUUUGACUUUCAGGUAAAUAAAUCCGAUCAGUCACAGUUCUUGGACAAGGCAUGGCAAAGUAACUUGGAGGAAAAACCCAAGCCACAAGCUGUAUCUGUUGAAAACAACUUAGCAAGCAUGCAAAAACAAACAAACUUCGGUUCACACUGUGAUUAGUACAGGAAUAGUGGAGGGAGAGAUGGGCUCAGUGACCACAAACACUGGCCCUGUGUUAACUCCCAUUGAACUGGAUUGUUUAGCAUCACUCCCGGCUAUUUGAUCACUGGAAGCAGUCCUCCGUUUCCCAUUUUUGUCUAAUGAACGAAAUAUUAAGCCUUCCCGUACCUCACAAGGGAACUAGGACACGUUAUUCAUUGUACUGGUAUAAGCAUCUUUUCUAAAGCUGCCCAGAACCUUGACAAAUUAUUUUCCCAUAGCUGAGAAUAGACAAUGGUGUCAGAUGUAAAAAUGGUCUGCAGCGAAUAAUUAGCAGACCCUGAUACAUGUGUCAACUAACCACUUUCCCCACAACCCAAAUUAUAGUAUCUAGAAUGGUUCAGCUGAUACGACGACAGAUAUUUAUAUACCGCUCUUCAACCAACGUUCUCUUUUUCAUAGAAAAAUACAUAAAUAAGAUGGUUUCCUGUCCCCAAAGGGCUCACAGUAUAAAAAGAAACUUAAGGUAGAUACCAGCAACAGCCACUGAAAGGAUGCUGUGCUGGGGGUUGGACAGGGCCAGUUGUUCUCCCCCUACUAAAUAUAAGAGAAUAACCACUUUAAAAGCUGUCUCUUUGCUCGGUUAGCUGAUACAUUUUUUUCAACCACCUGCGCUGGUUAAGCAGGACACUUUUAAUAUAAGGGGCCUGAGAUGAGAAGAAAACAUGCUUCCCAGGAAGAUUUCACACCCAGCUUUUAAUUUGCAUCUCCUCAGAACAUUGACAUAUCGGCCAAAUAUUCUUCAAAGUCCCUGCGAGCUAUCAAAAGUGAGCACACACAUUUUUCGUGUGUGUGUGGGGGGGGGGGGGUUAUUGCACAUUAGAGUGUAGCCUGGGUAAAGAAAAUCCACUUUUUGUGUCGGUUUUGGGGGGUAGCUACAAACUCACAGUAAAGCCUCUCAGUAAACCUGAGGUAAAGCCAGCUGUCUGGGAGAGCUCCAGCUGUCUCUUCCUAGCAGCUGAACAUUGUUUGUCUUUGUUCUUAAGCUUCAGUACUAUCCAUUUUAAGUGUAAUUAUAAACUAUACUAAGGACAAAGUACCUUACAAGUGAAGAUCUCACACUCAGCGUGACUCUUUGCUUUUGUAAUAUAACACAUUCUUAUAUUAUUAUAUUGUAUUUUGUGGUGUGUUGUGCUGAGUUGUAACUACUGGUCAUUGGCCGAAAUAAACUAAACUAACAUACUCCACAA